UUCCAGUAACGCCGUUGGAUUUAAACGCUGAGGUCGCUGCGCGCAGCUCCGCGGCGAGAAAUGGGCUGUCUCUAAAUACACGGAACCACCCGGCGACCCCUUCGAGGAUGCAGGCUGAAAACAGAUAGACAAACUGGACAGAAACAGGCUUUCCAUCAACUUCCGCUGCAUGCGUCAUUGCAGCGCUGCGUAAUGUUGCGAAGGGCUGCCGGGUCCAGAUAAUGCGCACGCCUGCUUCUGGGGGGGUUUGAAGGCAAAUGAGGCUUCUGAUCCGGUUAGACGUGAGCCACGAAAGGAGCCUGAAGCUUCAAACUCCGCAGCUGCAAUUACUCCGCCUGUUUUGAGAAACAUUCGAUGGCCUAACAUUUGCGUAUCCUCAGAAUCCUCAGAGGGAGGCGGUGGAGGCCUCCAACCAGCCUUAAAAGACAAGAGGCAACACCUCACGCUGAAGUAAAGCGCUGCAGACAAGAAGGAGCUGGCACCGUGUGACGACCACAAACCAAGACAGAAACUCCACCAUGCAUUUAAAGUUAUGAGUCACAGCAUGACUGUCUGUAGCACGGAACGCUGUAAAGGUAGUUGAUUGGUGACAAAUGCACUUAAGCCGAAUUAUCUCUGUCUGUGGUCUGUGCCAUUAAACUGUAGAUCUUA